rnacentral:rRNA from 1 species
CAGUAGCCACGGUAAUACGAAGGGGGCUAGCGUUGCUCGGAAUUACUGGGCGUAAAGGGCGCGUAGGCGGACAGUUCAGUCGGGGGUGGAAGCCCGGGGCUCAACCUCGGAAUUGCCUUCGAUACUGGCUGUCUUGAGUAUGAGAGAGGUGCGUGGAACUCCGAGUGUAGAGGUGAAAUUCGUAGAUAUUCGGAAGAACACCAGCGGCGAAGGCGACACACUGGCUCAUUACUGCCGCUGAGGCGCGAAAGCGUGGGGAGCAAACAGGAUUAGAUACCCGCGUAGUCCCUGUCUCUUAUAC